AACGCGAAGAACCUUACCUGGCCUUGACAUCCACGGAAUUCUGCAGAGAUGCGGAAGUGCGUUCGGGAAUCGUGAGACAGGUGCUGCAUGGCUGUAGUCAGAUCGUGUCGUGAGAUGUUGGGUUAAGUCCCGCAAGGAGGGCAACCUUUGUCUUUAGUUGCCAUCAUUAAGUUGGGAAAUCUAAGGAGAUAGAGGGUGACAAAACGGAGGAAGGUGGGGAUGAUGUUACGUUAUGAUGGCGUCUAUCGCCAGGGAUAUACAAGCGUUAUAAUGGCAGGUAAAGAGGGAAGUUACGCUGGGAGCGGGACUUAAUCCAAGAAAGCACUGUAGUAGUCUGGAUACGAGAGUAUGCAACUCCAGUCUGUCAAGUUGCAAUGGCUCGUAAUACGAGAGAUGCGCAAUGCUCGGGAGAAUAAGUUCCAGGGUAUUUCUACGC
rnacentral:rRNA from 1 species